rnacentral:tRNA from 1 species
GCCUGGGUGACUCAGUUGGUUAAGCAUCUGACUUCAGCUCAGGUCAUGAUCUCAUGGUUUGUGGGUUCAAGCCCCGCAUCAGGCU